GACGAACGCUGGCGGCGUGCUUAACACAUGCAAGUCGAACGGAAAGGCCCUGCUUUUGUGGGGUGCUCGAGUGGCGAACGGGUGAGUAACACGUGAGUAACCUGCCCUUGACUUUGGUAUAACUUCAGGAAACUGGGGCUAAUACCGGAUAGGAGCUCCUGCUGCAUGGUGGGUGUUGGAAAGUUUCGGCGGUGGGGGAUGGACUCGCGGCUUAUCAGCUUGUUGGUGGGGUAGUGGCUUACCAAGGCUUUGACGGGUAGCCGGCCUGAGAGGGUGACCGGCCACAUUGGGACUGAGAUACGGCCCAGACUCCUACGGGAGGCAGCAGUGGGGAAUAUUGCACAAUGGGCGGAAGCCUGAUGCAGCAACGCCGCGUGCGGGAUGACGGCCUUCGGGUUGUAAACCGCUUUCGCCUGUGACGAAGCGUGAGUGACGGUAAUGGGUAAAGAAGCACCGGCUAACUACGUG
rnacentral:rRNA from 1 species